rnacentral:rRNA from 1 species
CGCCUGUUUAACAAAAACAAGUCCUUUUGAAUAUAUUUAAUGUCUAACCUGCCCAAUGAGGCAUUAAAUGGCCGCAGUAUUUUGACUGUGCAAAGGUAGCAUAAUUAUUAGUUUUUUAAUUGAAAGCUUGUAUGAAGGGUUGGACGAAAUAAAACCUGUCUUUAUUUAAGUUAUAAUAGAAUUUAACUUUUAAGUCAAAAGGCUUAAAUUUAUAUAAAAGACGAGAAGACCCUAUAGAUCUUUAUUUAAUUAAUAUUUUAAUAAUUUUGGAUUAUUUUAAUUUAAAGUUUUAAUUAAAUUUUAUUGGGGUAAUGUAAAGAUUAAAAUAAUUCUUUUUUUUUUAAUACAUUGAUUUAUGAA